GUACGGCUGUCAUCCAGGAAGACGAUAAACUCCAACACCUUAUAAUUAUUUCAGUAAAAACAGCUUGGAACAAUGCAUUUGAAAUUAAAAGUUUAUAUGAAGUGAGAGCAAAUUUGACAACUCCCAAAACUACAGGAUGCCCCAUGUGUCAGCAGUUGCUUUGGCUGGGAUGUGCAGAACAGACUGAACCGUUCUUCCCUCAGGCUUAUCACUGGAGCUGGACUAGCUCUCCAAAAGACUUUCUAUUUACACUUCAAUCCUCAGCUGCACAUCUGAGAGCCUCUCACAAGGUCUGGGGCAUUCCAGCAACUGCAGUCCAUCAAAUGCAUUUAAGAAUGCAAAAAAAAAAAAAAAAAAGAUAAGAAAUGAUGUGGCUGAGAUGCUGGGCUGAGAAUUGGGAGGUUUUGGUGCUGCUCCAGCGCAUCCAGAGACCUGCCAGGUGGGGUGGGAACCCACUGCCCCAUGCUCCCCUUCCACUCCUUGCUUUGUCUGUUUACAGCAUGCUUUUAGAAAAGCAGCAUGUGUGAGGCCAUACACAGUACUGAGCACUAAGCAGCUACACUCUCGUAUUGGGCUUUUAGUCACCAGUGAAAUAUCUACAAUAACAAACUGGCUUGGACAGCAGCACUCCCCUCCUCUUCAUCACCGCUAGCCAUGUAGCAAAUGCAACCCAAAACCUCCACAGCACCUUCCCAGACCCAAAAGUCCCCCUGGGCUGCCCCGAGCCCCACAGGAGCUGGCUCGGGCAGAAGGGCUCUGCAGCUGCGCCGGGAAGGUCAACAAAUUCUGACAUUUGUUCAAAUAAAGGCUCAAAUUCAUUUGA